GUGGUGAAAGUGAAGACAGGAGUAAAUGGAUUUGGCCAUAUUGGGUGCCUGGUCACCAGGGCACCAGAGCUGCUUUUAACUCUGGCAGAAUGGAUGUUGUCACCUCAAUGACCCCUUCAUUGACCUCAACUACAUGGUCUACAUGUUCCAAUAUGAUUCUACCCACGGCAAGUUCCGCGGCACCAUCAAAGCUGAGAAAAGGGAAGCUUGUCAUCAAUAGGAAAUGGGAAUCUCAUCCCCAUCUUCUAGAAGCCAGAUCCCAGCAAAAUCAAAUUGGGUGACGAUGCUGGCACUGGUUAUGUCAUGGAGUCCACCAGCAGCAUCUUCACGACCAUGGGGAAGGCUGGGGCUCGCUUAGGAUGGGCAGCCAAAGGGAUCACCAUCUCUGCCCCCUCUGCCCAUGCCCCCAUGUUUGUGAUGGACAUGAACCAUGAGAGAUACAAAAACCUCAUGAUCGUCAGCAAUGCCUCCUGCACCACCAACUGCUUACCCUCCGGCCAAGGUCAUCCGUGACAACGUUUUUUUUUGGUUUGGCUGAGCCACUGACCCUGGUCAUCCAUGACAUCUUUGGCAACAUGGAGGGGCUCAUGACCACAGCCCCUCUGGGAAACUGGCGUGACAAACAUCAUCCCUGCAUCUACUGGCACGGCCAAGGCUGUGGGCAAAUUCCUGCACUGAACAGGAAGCUCACUGGCACAGCCUUCCGAGUCCCUGCCACCAAUGUGUUGGUGGUUGACCCGACCUGCCAUCUGGAGAAACCUGCCAAAUAUGAUGACCUCAAGAAGGUGGUGAAACAGGCAUUGGGGGGGCCCCCUCAAGGGCAUCCCGGGCUACAUUGAGAACAAGGUCUCCUCUGACUUUUAACAGCGACACCCAUCCUUCCACCUUCUGUGCUGGGGCUAGCAUUGCCCUUGAUGACACUUUGUCAAGUUCAUUUCCUGGCAUGACAAUGUAUUUGGCUUCAGCAAAAAGGUGG
rnacentral:lncRNA from 1 species